ensembl:snRNA Gm26425 predicted gene, 26425
AGCUUUGCAUCGUGGCAGUAUUAUAACCAGUGAGGUUUAUCCAAGGCAUGGUUAUUGCUAAUUGAAAAUAAGGUAUUGAUUA